rnacentral:misc_RNA from 1 species
AAGUCGUAACAAGGUCUCCGUAGGUGAACCUGCGGAGGGAUCAUUACAGAGAACAUCGCCCCUCGACGGGUCAGCACUUCUUCCAACCCAUAUCGUUUAUUUAUUAACCGUUUGUUGCUUUGGCCGACGCCCGGCCCUCCGGGCCAUCCGGCUCUUGCUGGUGAGUGCUCGCCAGAGGACCCAAAAUUCUGAAUAUUAAUGUCGUCUGAGUACUAUAUAAUAGUUAAAA